rnacentral:lncRNA from 1 species
GCCGAACUGCUGGAGCAUGCGUACAAAUAUAUAUGCACAGACGAAGGAGCUUCCGACCGGUGCCUAACUGAGGCCAAGGGCUCAAAGGAGAAGCGAAGGAAAGGUUGGGCCCCUACCGAGCCCAGCAGGCCCCCGACCGACAAACAGGUCUCACCCCAACGACGGAGCCCGAGAUCACCUCGACGGCGGAGUCCGAGGUCAAUGCAUCCCAGGUAUGACUCCUAUACUCUCCUCUCUGCUCCUCGUGCGCAGAUUUUGAUGGAGAUCGAAGGAAAAGAAUAUUUGCGACGGCCUCCGCCUUUGAAGGCAAAGGGCCUCGACCGACGAAAGUACUGUCGAUUUCAUCG